UCCAUCUUGUACUCGCUCUUCUCCUUCUCCAGCUUCUGCUUGACACGCUGGAGGUUGUCGAUCUGCUCUCCCAACUCUGCAACACUGUCAGCCUGCUUCUUGCGAAGAGCUGCUGCAGUAGAUUCAUGCUGCAGGGUUGACUCCUCAAGGUCACGACGCAGCUUCUGGAACUCAGCCUCACGCUUCUUGUUCAUCUCAAUCUGAGCAGCUGUUGCUCCACCAGCUUCCUCAAGCCUC